rnacentral:rRNA from 1 species
GGCGAACGGGUGAGUAAUACAUCGGAAUCUGCCCUAUCGUGGGGGAUAACGUAGGGAAACUUACGCUAAUACCGCAUACGACCUACGGGUGAAAGCAGGGGAUCUUCGGACCUUGCGCGAUUGGAUGAGCCGAUGUCGGAUUAGCUAGUUGGCGGGGUAAAGGCCCACCAAGGCGACGAUCCGUAGCUGGUCUGAGAGGAUGAUCAGCCACACUGGAACUGAGACACGGUCCAGACUCCUACGGGAGGCAGCAGUGGGGAAUAUUGGACAAUGGGCGCAAGCCUGAUCCAGCCAUGCCGCGUGGGUGAAGAAGGCCUUCGGGUUGUAAAGCCCUUUUGUUGGGAAAGAAAAGCAUUCGGUUAAUACCCGAGUGUUCUGACGGUACCCAAAGAAUAAGCACCGGCUAACUUCGUGCCAGCAGCCGCGGUAAUACGAAGGGUGCAAGCG